CGCACAUUGCGCCCCCUGGUAUUCCGGGGGGCAUGCCUGUUCGAGCGUCAUUUCACCACUCAAGCCUCACUUGGUAUUGGGCAACGCGGUCCGCCGCGUGCCUCAAAUCGACCGGCUGGGUCUUCUGUCCCCUAAGCGUUGUGGAAACUAUUCGCUAAAGGGUGUUCGGGAGGCUACGCCGUAAAACAUUAUUCAAGGUUGACCUCGGAUCAGGUAGGGAUACCCGCUGAACUUAA
rnacentral:misc_RNA from 1 species